GCUGGGCCAGAAUGCAAUAGGUGCUCAGUAAAUGUGGGGCUGGUGUGCAAUAGGUACUCAGUAAUGCUGGGGCGGUGUGCAGUGGGUGCUCAGUAAAUGCUGGGCCAGUAAGCAAUAGGUGCUUAGUAAACGUGGGGUCGGUGUGCAGUGGGUGCUCAGUAAUACAGGGCCGGUGUAGAGUAGGUGCUCAGUGAAUGCAGGGCCAGUACACGGUAGGUACUCAGUAAUGCUGGGGCGGUGUGCAGUGGGAGUGAAGUAAAUGCUGGGCCAGCAUGCAAUAGGUGCUCAGUAAAUGUAGGGUCAGUGUGCAGUGGGUGCUCAGUAAUACAGGGCUGGUGUACAGUAGGUGCUUAGUGAAUGCAGGGCUGGUACAUAGUAGGUGCUCAGCAAAUGUGGGGCCAGUGUGCAGUGGGUGCUCAGUAAUGCUGGGUCUGUGUACAGUGGGUGCUCAGUAAAUGCUGGGCCAGCAUGCAAUAGGUGCUCAGUAAAUGUGGGGCCGGGGCAGGUUGGUGUGCAGCAGGUGCUCAGUAAUGCAGGACUAGUGCACAGUAGGUGCUCAGUAAUGCUGGGGUUGUGUGCAGUGGGUGCUCACUAAAUGCUGGGCCAGGAUGCAAUAGGUGCUCAGUAAAUGUGGGGCCAGUGUGCAGUAGGUGCUCAGUAAAUGUGGGGCUGGUGUGCAGUAGGUACUCAGUAAUGCUGGGCUGGUGUGCAGUAGGUACUCAGUAAUGCAGGGCCAGUAUGCAGUAGGUGCUCAGUAAUGCUGGGCUGGUGUGCAGUAGGUGUUCAGUAAUGCAGGGCCGGCAUGCAGUAGGUGCUCAGUAAAUGCUGGGCGGGUGCACAGUAGGUGCUCAGUAAUGCUGGGCCGGUGCACGGUGGGUGCCUGGUGAACACGUGCCUCCCUGGUCAUCACUGCUGCUCAGUUCAGGGCUUAGGGAUGGACGUGCCAUCUCAGCGAGCUCGAGGGUCAAAGCUCUGCUAUGGAGGAGGAAACUGAGGCCCAGAGGCAGGAGGGCAGCGACCUGCAAUUCAACUCUAGGCCCAUCUGGCUGUACGCUCCUUUUCC
rnacentral:lncRNA from 1 species